CAGGUUUUUCAAACCAUCAUUGGCUUAAAAACAGGCACACAGAAAAGUAAAAAUCCAGAAAGAAUGUCGUUAUAGUAAGCAAGAGAUUUAAAAGAUGUAACAAAUACAGCGUGGGACUUUGGAUUCUGAUGAAGAGAAGGGCACUGAAAAUUGGGGGAAAUUUGGAUAUUAACUAUCUUGCCUCUUAGAGAUGCACACUGAAAUGUCUGCUGGUUCAGUGAUGUGUUGUACGGGAUUUGUUUCGAAAUACAACAGCAUAAAAAAGAUGGAAAUGUAUAGAUAAAAUGAAGCAAAACAAUGAUAUUCGACACAGCUGUGUGAUGAGUAUAUAAGUGUUCAUCUUACUAUUCUCUCUAAUUUCACAUGUUUGAAAAUUUGCACAAUCAAAGGUUGAAAAUAUUAUGACAACUAUUUUUGUCCUCAUGGUUUUAAGUAUCUGUGGGUUAUUUAUUCUGAAUAAAUUCCUAUAAAUGAGACUGCUAAGUCAAAAGGAAAGUGUGUCUUCAAGUCUUUAGGUUUCAUAUUGCUGUUAACCAGUUACAUGUGGAAGUGCCUAUAUUCCUGCCAACAAAGGUUAUA
rnacentral:lncRNA from 1 species